rnacentral:rRNA from 1 species
AGAGUUUGAUCCUGGCUCAGGACGAACGCUGGCGGCGUGCCUGACACAUGCAAGUUGAGCGAAGUACUUACAACUGAUCCCUUCGGGGUGACGAUGUAAGUAUCUUAGCAGCAAACGGGUGAGUAACGCGUAAGAAACCUGCCAUUCACAGGGGGAUAGCCUCGGGAAACCGGGAUUAAUACCUCAUGACACUGAACUAUUACAUGAUGGAUCAGUUAAAGCGUAAAGCGGUGAAUGAUGGUCUUGCGUCCCAUUAGCUAGUUGGUGAGAUAAAAGCUCACCAAGGUAACGAUGGGUAGCCGGCCUGAGAGGGUGAUCGGCCACACUGGAACUGAGAACGGUCCAGACUCCUACGGGAGGCAGCAGUGGGGAAUAUUGCACAAUGGAGGAAACUCUGAUGCAGCGACGCCGCGUGAAUGAUGAAGGCUUUCGAGUCGUAAAAUUCUGUCCUUGGGGAAGAUAAUGACGGUACCCAAGGAGGAAGCUCCGGCUAACUACGUGCCAGCAGCCGCGGUAAUACGUAGGGAGCGAGCGUUGUCCGGAUUUAUUGGGCGUAAAGGGUUCGCAGGCGGCCUUAUAAGUCAGAUGUUAAAGACCAUAGCUUAACUAUGGAAAGCAUUUGAAACUGUAUGGCUUGAGUCAAGGAGAGGAAAGUGGAAUUCCUAGUGUAGCGGUGAAAUGCGUAGAUAUUAGGAAGAAUAUCAGUGGCGAAGGCGACUUUCUGGACUUGUACUGACGCUGAGGAACGAAAGCAUGGGGAGCAAACAGGAUUAGAUACCCUGGUAGUCCAUGCCGUAAACGAUGAGUGCUAGGUGUCGGGGGUCAAACCUCGGUGCCGGAGCUAACACAUUAAGCACUCCGCCUGGGGAGUACGUGCGCAAGCAUGAAACUCAAAGGAAUUGACGGGGACCCGCACAAGCAGCGGAGCAUGUGGUUUAAUUCGAUGCAACGCGAAGAACCUUACCAGGACUUGACAUGCCCCUGACCGGUCUAGAGAUAGACCUUUACCUUCGGGUACAGGGAACACAGGUGGUGCAUGGUUGUCGUCAGCUCGUGUCGUGAGAUGUUGGGUUAAGUCCCGUAACGAGCGCAACCCCUAUCUUCAGUUGCCAGCAUUAAGUUGGGGACUCUGGAGAGACUGCCGGUGAUAAACCGGAGGAAGGUGGGGAGGACGUCAAAUCAUCAUGCCCCCUAUGACCUGGGCUACACACGUGAUACAAUGGCAUAUACAACGGGGAGGUAAGCCGCGAGGUGGAGCAAAUCCUAAAAAGUAUGUCUCAGUUCGGAUCGUAGUCUGCAACUCGACUACGUGAAGUUGGAAUCGCUAGUAAUCGCAGAUCAGAAUGCUG